GGAUGAUGGAGUCCAGCAGGCGCAGUGCAGGCCCCUUCAGAAACUCAUGCUUCAGUAUUGCUGAGAAUCGCUGCUAGUAAAAACUUCUGCUCUUUUUCAGACACCCUUCACAAGCUUCUGAAGCACUUCUGUGUUCCGUUUGUGUUUGGUGUUGUUUUAGCAGAAACUUGUUCCGUUACUCUCAUAGUAUAUUUUAAAAUUAGGGCACCACCUACAUUUUACAAAGCAGUUGUCUGGAGUUUAUGUGGAUGCUCACUGAUGUCAUUCCUCACUGGGAUUUCUAUAAAAGCUUGGAGUGUAUUUUCUGAGAAUCCCUGUCAGAGAUGCCCUGG